rnacentral:tRNA from 1 species
CAGGACAUAACUUAAAUUAAAGUAUUUUGCUUACACCAAAAAUAUAUCCAUUAAACAGGAUUGCCCUGA